GGGACACGUGGUAUCCUGUCUGAAUAUGGGGGGACCAUCCUCCAAGGCUAAAUACUCCUGACUGACCGAUAGUGAACCAGUACCGUGAGGGAAAGGCGAAAAGAACCCCGGCGAGGGGAGUGAAAAAGAACCUGAAACCGUGUACGUACAAGCAGUGGGAGCCUCUUAAUGGGGUGACUGCGUACCUUUUGUAUAAUGGGUCAGCGACUUAUAUUCUGUAGCAAGGUUAACCGAAUAGGGGAGCCGAAGGGAAACCGAGUCUUAACUGGGCGUUAAGUUGCAGGGUAUAGACCCGAAACCCGGUGAUCUAGCCAUGGGCAGGUUGAAGGUUGGGUAACACUAACUGGAGGACCGAACCGACUAAUGUUGAAAAAUUAGCGGAUGACUUGUGGCUGGGGGUGAAAGGCCAAUCAAACCGGGAGAUAGCUGGUUCUCCCCGAAAGCUAUUUAGGUAGCGCCUCGUGAAUUCAUCUCCGGGGGUAGAGCACUGUUUCGGCAAGGGGGUCAUCCCGACUUACCAACCCGAUGCAAACUGCGAAUACCGGAGAAUGUUAUCACGGGAGACACACGGCGGGUGCUAACGUCCGUCGUGAAGAGGGAAACAACCCAGACCGCCAGCUAAGGUCCCAAAGUCAUGGUUAAGUGGGAAACGAUGUGGGAAGGCCCAGACAGCCAGGAUGUUGGCUUAGAAGCAGCCAUCAUUUAAAGAAAGCGUAAUAGCUCACUGGUCGAGUCGGCCUGCGCGGAAGAUGUAACGGGGCUAAACCAUGCACCGAAGCUGCGGCAGCGACACUAUGUGUUGUUGGGUAGGGGAGCGUUCUGUAAGCCUGUGAAGGUGUACUGUGAGGUAUGCUGGAGGUAUCAGAAGUGCGAAUGCUGACAUAAGUAACGAUAAAGCGGGUGAAAAGCCCGCUCGCCGGAAGACCAAGGGUUCCUGUCCAACGUUAAUCGGGGCAGGGUGAGUCGACCCCUAAGGCGAGGCCGAAAGGCGUAGUCGAUGGGAAACAGGUUAAUAUUCCUGUACUUGGUGUUACUGCGAAGGGGGGACGGAGAAGGCUAUGUUGGCCGGGCGACGGUUGUCCCGGUUUAAGCGUGUAGGCUGGUUUUCCAGGCAAAUCCGGAAAAUCAAGGCUGAGGCGUGAUGA
rnacentral:rRNA from 1 species